AUCUAAGUGUGUGUGUGUGUGUGUGUGUGUGUGUGUGUGUGUGUGUUUGCUGGUGUGGCUCUCUCAGUGUGUUGACCAGACCUCCUUUCAAAGCCUAAUUGGGUUUGGGACUGGGGUAAUUGCUUGUGACAGAACCUAGCUAUCGUGUUUUGUUGUUUUGUUGUUUCCUUUGACCUCUAAACCUCCUUUUAACCUACAUUUCUUAGGAAAGUAUUAGAUGAUUAUCAGUUGAUUUAUUUCUUGGCUCUAGGAUUGGUUUGAAAUGUAAUUGGUUAAGUAAUUAAUGAGAUAAAAAUGACUGAGACAAAAAUACAUAUGCUGUUAUUGCAGAAUCCUUAAUACCAAAUUGAGUACUUGUUAGAUCUCUAGCAGUGUUAAUGAUUGACUCUUUAUUUUAACAAGUAAAUCUGGACAGUUCUUGUCCUUUGAUUCUGUGUGUCUGUCUCAUGAUAUUAUGUAUUUGACAAUAUUUGUUACCAGGGAUUCACAGGCAUGGUUCAAUGACAAACACGAUACAAUUUUUAAUUAAUUUGUUGAUUUUUGUUUAUGACUGAUAAAGGGAUAGGUUGUGUGUGUAUGAAUGAGCGUAUGAAAGCAUGUGUACAUGUUUUUGUUCUUGAUGGAAGGCAAACAUUGUGCAAACUUGGAUGUUCCAGUGAUGUGCAUUUAUGUGUUAAAGUUGGAUCCGCAACUUCACAACAGACUAAUUUAUAUAUUUUAGACGCAGAACUGUGUUAUGAAUGGACUUGGUGUCAAAGUCCAGGUUUAUUUUAUUUUCCAUUUCAGUAAGCUGACAUCUAUGUUCACUGCCUUAAAUUUCAUCCACUCUGUGUCUAUGUGGCAUGUUUUAUGAAAAGAAGAAAAGAAAAAAAGAUUUUUAAGAUGUGGAAGACAUAUUGUACAGUAGACCAAUGUCAGUUUGUAUAAAGUACUAAGUGAAAAAAAUAUUUAUUACAUGCAUUGAAAGAAAUUGUUUAACUAUUGAAUGUUACAUGUUUAUGUAGAGACAUUUAGAUGUAAUAAAAUGCAUUGAGUUAA
ensembl:lncRNA